CCUACGGGAGGCAGCAGUGGGGAAUAUUGCACAAUGGGGGAAACCCUGAUGCAGCGACGCCGCGUGAGUGAAGAAGUAUUUCGGUACGUAAAGCCCUAUCAGCAGGGAAGAAAAUGACGGUACCUGACUAAGAAGCCCCGGCUAACGACGUGCCAGCAGCGGCGGUAAUACGUAGGGGGCAAGCGUUAUCCGGAUUUACUGGGUGUAAAGGGAGCGUAGACGGCAGCGCAAGUCUGGAGUGAAAUCCCAUGGCUUAACCAUGGAACUGCUUUGGAAACUGUGCAGCUAGAGUGCAGGAGAGGUACGCGGAAUGCCUGGUGUAGCGGUGAAAUGCGUAGAUAUUAGGAGGAACACCAGUGGCGAAGGCGGCUUACUGGACUGUAACUGACGUUGAGGCUCGAAAGCGUGGGGAGCAAACAGGAUUAGAUACCCGGGUAGUC
rnacentral:rRNA from 1 species